rnacentral:rRNA from 1 species
UGGCUCCAGGACGAACGCUGGCGGCGUGCCUAAUACAUGCAAGUUGAGCGCUGAAGGUUGGUACUUGUACCGACUGGAUGAGCAGCGAACGGGUGAGUAACGCGUGGGGAAUCUGCCUUUGAGCGGGGGACAACAUUUGGAAACGAAUGCUAAUACCGCAUAACAACUUUAAACACAAGUUUUAAGUUUGAAAGAUGCAAUUGCAUCACUCAAAGAUGAUCCCGCGUUGUAUUAGCUAGUUGGUGAGGUAAAGGCUCACCAAGGCGAUGAUACAUAGCCGACCUGAGAGGGUGAUCGGCCACAUGGACGAGACACGCC